GGAAAAGCAGCGCGGCAGGUUAGUCGCUAACCAGCAUGCGAGCGGUAGGAUAAUCGGUGAUUAAAACASRMURGAGUCUUGUAGAGGGGGGUAGAAUUCCAGGUGUAGCGGUGAAAUGCGUAGAGAUCUGGAGGAAUACCGGUGGCGAAGGCGGCCCCCUGGACAAAGACUGACGCUCAGGUGCGAAAGCGUGUGGAGCAAACAGGAUUAGAUACCCUGGUAGUCCACGCUGUAAACGAUGUCGAUUUGGAGGUUGUGCCCUUGAGGCGUGGCUUCCGGAGCUAACGCGUUAAAUCGACCGCCUGGGGAGUACGGCCGCAAGGUUAAAACUCAAAUGAAUUGACGGGGGCCCGCACAAGCGGUGGAGCAUGUGGUUUAAUUCGAUGCAACGCGAAGAACCUUACCUGGUCUUGACAUCCACAGAACUUUCCAGAGAUGGAUUGGUGCCUUCGGGAACUGUGAGACAGGUGCUGCAUGGCUGUCGUCAGCUCGUGUUGUGAAAUGUUGGGUUAAGUCCCGCAACGAGCGCAACCCUUAUCCUUUGUUGCCAGCGGUUAGGCCGGGAACUCAAAGGAGACUGCCAGUGAUAAACUGGAGGAAGGUGGGGAUGACGUCAAGUCAUCAUGGCCCUUACGACCAGGGCUACACACGUGCUACAAUGGCAUAUACAAAGAGAAGCGACCUCGCGAGAGCAAGCGGACCUCAUAAAGUAUGUCGUAGUCCGGAUUGGAGUCUGCAACUCGACUCCAUGAAGUCGGAAUCGCUAGUAAUCGUAGAUCAGAAUGCUACGGUGAAUACGUUCCCGGGCCUUGUACACACCGCCCGUCACACCAUGGGAGUGGGUUGCAAAAGAAGUAGGUAGCUUAACCUUCGGGAGGGCGCUUACCACUUUGUGAUUCAUGACUGGGGUGAAGUCGUAACAAGGUAACCGUAGGGGAACCUGCGGUUG
rnacentral:rRNA from 1 species